rnacentral:rRNA from 1 species
AACGAACGCUGGCGGCAGGCCUAACACAUGCAAGUCGAGCGGACCCUUCGGGGUUAGCGGCGGACGGGUGAGUAACGCGUGGGAAUAUGCCCUUCUCUACGGAAUAGUCCUGGGAAACUGGGGGUAAUACCGUAUACGCCCUUUGGGGGAAAGAUUUAUCGGGGAAGGAUUAGCCCGCGUUGGAUUAGGUAGUUGGUGGGGUAAUGGCCUACCAAGCCGACGAUCCAUAGCUGGUUUGAGAGGAUGAUCAGCCACACUGGGACUGAGACACGGCCCAGACUCCUACGGGAGGCAGCAGUGGGGAAUCUUAGACAAUGGGGGCAACCCUGAUCUAGCCAUGCCGCGUGAGUGAUGAAGGCCUUAGGGUUGUAAGGCUCUUUCAGCUGGGAAGAUAAUGACGGUACCAGCAGAAGAAGCCCCGGCUAACUCCGUG